rnacentral:lncRNA from 1 species
GAGAACUUUAGCCAACCCCUCAAACCCAUUUUACCUCCACGUCAUUUUCAGCUAUUUCUCAUAUGUUAUUAUUAAAGUGGAAAGGAAAGAAUAAAAUAACAGGAAGAAUCCAAGAACACAAAGUCUCACUUGAAAAGAAGCAAUACAGUAACAUUACUAUAAAUUAACAAAUAAAAAAGGGAAUAUAAGACUGGAACUUACAGCCCUUAGGCUUAGAAAUCAAAAUUGCUAUUCUCUAUUUGUUGGAUAGUUAAAGAACCUGGAUCGAUCUUGGCUGUACACGUUGCAAUCUCAGUCGUCCUUGAAUUUCUUGAGCAACUUGGUAGCCCAUCUUCUUAACCGUCGCUUUAGUGUGAAUCCAAAUACGACACCUACAGUGAAGCUGAUCGCGCAUAUCUUAGAGCAAGUCCACAAAGACACCACCUGUCUGGAUACAAAACCAAGAGUCACUUAACUUUUCCAGAAAUUGCAAAAAAUAAGUGCAAGAAUCUAUAGCCAAAUCAUUAAGGAUGAGGUGUUAAAUUAAUAAUGAUGUGGAUUCAGAUCCAAAUAGUAUACAUGGGAUCCAGAUCUGGAUCCGGAUCCAAUCAGAUCCAAAAAUUAUUUAAUAUAUUAUUUCAUAUUUAUAAAGUAAUAUAUAACAAAAGAAUAUAACAUAUACAUAUAAUAUAUUAAUAACUGGGUCAGAUCAUAAUCGGAUCCACCUGUACCCGGAUCCAACCCGUCGGAUCCAAAUCUUGGAUCCAUACCCCGAUCCAAAUAUGAUCCGAAAUUCGGGUUUAGGAUCUGAACAGGGUAAAUUCUCAGACGUACCAGGGAAAGCUUCACAAAUGCCAAAUUUACAAACCAAGCCUGGUCCAAGAUCUAUUGCCAAAUAACACUGAAACAGUUGAGUUUUGGGACCAAUGUUCAGAAAUGGUGAUACACCAUUGAAAAGGCCAGGGGCCACAGUUUUACAAUUAUAUCCUUCUUUUCUUUAUUCGGUCUAGGUCAGUUUAAAUUGCAAGAGAAAGGUUUAAUGUUUAAACCAAAGAACUCAAACCUCUCACAAUAAAAAUAGUGUCUUACCAUUAAGCCCAGGCCUUGAUUGACACAGGUCAUGAAUCUUAUAAUGGGUGUUAUGCGAUAUUAUUUAAAACCAUUCAGGGAAGGCAUAAAAAAGAGGGUGUUAUUCACAUAAAACUGCCAAGAUCGUGACCGAUGGAAUGGCUGUCACAGCAUUGGGGUGCCCCCUGAACCAGAAAAUGGGGUGCCCCCUGAAGCAGCCAGUUGAGAACUCUAAACCAGGCAAUUCACAGAGUGAGACCUCUGGUUUCUUGGGAAAGUUAUACCAGGUUGACUGUGUUGGCUUUUCUCAAAUAAAUUAUACAACUUUCAGUAAAAAACUACGAAAAACUAAUAGAGAGGAAAAAUUGUUUUCUCCUGACAUACUUCAACAUUUUAAUUAUUUGAACUAACUAUUUUAUAUAAACAAUACAAGGGGGUCACAAUCAUCAUUGAUCAUUAGAUUUAAAAUCGAGUGGUUGAGGAUGUGUCGUUGUUUACGCACAAAGUCCAAAGUAAAAUUUCUGUUGUGAUACACUUUCAUCUAUUGGGCAACAACAAUAACGGGGCUAAUUUAUGAAUCCAAUUUUUUAGAUCACAACCCCCACCUGUAAAACAUAUUGUUUAUAACCUGCCCCAUCAAAAUGUGCAUGAUGAGGUGUAGAACUAGCAUUCUAUCAAGGUUGUUUUUGAUUAAAAAUAAAAUAAUAAUAAGCUAAAGAAAUCAAAUAAAAUAAAAAUACGAAAUUAUUAUUCUUGUUAUUAUUAUUAUUAUUAUUAUUAUUAUUAACAAAAAGAGAAGAAGAAGAAGAAAAAGAACAAACAACAACAACAACAACAAACAAUAACCACAACAUAAAUAAGGGGAAUUUCUAUUGCACCCAUGCUUUCAAUGUUGGCCUAGAAAAUGAGUGGGAACAUCAAAAACAAAAUCUGAUGACAAUUUCCAGCCAUGUACAAUGUUCAGAACAAAAAGUGUUCGGAAAAUGAAAAACUAGGUGCAAGAAGCGAUUCCCUAAACAAAAUAAAUAGAUUUAAAGCAACAAAAUGGAACGGCCAAGUAUAUCCAUCAAAAGAAAAAGCAUCACACACAGUAGAAGUCAAAUAUUUAUAGCAAAACCCCAUGACUAAUUUUAGGCUGUCACUUGAGGAGUAAUGGACUCAGGAGCCUUUAUGUUUAGGAAAACACUCAAAUGAGGCGUAAAGGAUCUUUUCUUUGGCCAGUCUUCAAGAUUUAAUUCUCAUUUAAGACUCCUAAUUCAUAAGCGAUAUUUUUUUUUCAUAAAGAAUCAUGGUUUGUAAUCAUUCAUUGAUACUCCCCUAUCAAAAAUGGCAUCAGGUAAUGAAGGAGCAAAAGAAGCAAUUGUGUCUCCAGUGAGGAUCUAUUGGAUCUGUGAAAAAAAGCCUUAAAAGACAGAAUGGAUGGACAGGUUUACAUGGUAUUCAAUGAAUGGGGAAUAUGUUCAGGACAAAACUACUUAAAAAAAGUAUGUCUCGUUCAUUGAAGUGUCUAUAUGCAUAAUGUGAUGUGUGUGUGUGCAUGUCUGUAUGUGUGUAUACACACAAACGCACACACUAUAGGAAGAUCACACAUGCUGCAUGCGCACAUGCAGAGGAAGAUUACAUCUUGAAUAGAAGUACAGAACUCUGUCAGACCCCUUUCCAAAAGUCAACGUUCUCCCAAAAAAAAAAAAAUCCAUGCCCAUGUAACAUAAUUAGGGUGCAAAACAUGUUUGUAUGCCCUGCCCAUACCUUUUCACAAUUGCUUGGGAAGUGAAAAAUCAAACCUUGGAGAACCAUAUAGAUGACCAUGUUAAGGUCCUCGGAUGCACACAAACAUGUACAUCUAAUCAAAGACAUAAUUUGAAGCAAUAAAUCAAUGUAUCCCAUGGAUAAAAAGAUAUAUUUGAACGGCAAACUGAAUUCAUCGGAGAUAAUUGUAUCAAAUUGUACUGCACUGGCAGUAACACCAAUGCAGCUUUCCAUUAUGGGCCUGGGUUGAAAGGGGCAAAACAACCCAUACAGUCAUAGUGACGAGCUCAUAAUGAAAUAUGAAUAACUCCAUAAAAGCAUACUACGGAGUACAUAUCCAAGGAAAUUUGAAGAGCAAAGGUGAUCUCUUUUGAAAGAUGAGUCCAUCACCUUUCGAACUCAUCCAAUUUCUCGCAUUUUAUAACAUUUCCUUAACCAAAAUAGUAAAAGUACUAAAAUUACUCUGAGAAAAUUACAUUUAUGCAAAAUGAUUAAGGGCCAGUUUGGAUGCAUCAUUUAAAAUUCCUUUCUCACAAAGUAUUCUUUUAUAUUAAAUAUAGAAUUAUUAUCAUUUUAUUUUAUUUUGUCCAUAAACUGUUUGGUUGCAUGGGAAAAGAGAGACAACAAGAGAGAUAUCUCUUUCCUCCAGGAGACACAAACCCAAGUGCCACAUAUCUUAUCUCUCUCUUGGAGAGAGAGAAGAGAGAGAUGGAAGAAAUGGUGAAGCAAAGGAGAGAGGGGCCUAAGAUGUAUGCUUUAAAGAGAGAGGAGGGACUUCCCAGGAUGGAAUAAUCACAUCUUAUAAGAUUUAGAAUCACAUUUUCCAAAUCCAAUGUGUGAGAUGAUCAUUCAAUUNNNNNNNNNNNNNNNNNNNNNNNNNNNNNNNNNNNNNNNNNNNNNNNNNNNNNNNNNNNNNNNNNNNNNNNNNNNNNNNNNNNNNNNNNNNNNNNNNNNNNNNNNNNNNNNNNNNNNNNNNNNNNNNNNNNNNNNNNNNNNNNNNNNNNNNNNNNNNNNNNNNNNNNNNNNNNNNNNNNNNNNNNNNNNNNNNNNNNNNNNNNNNNNNNNNNNNNNNNNNNNNNNNNNNNNNNNNNNNNNNNNNNNNNNNNNNNNNNNNNNNNNNNNNNNNNNNNNNNNNNNNNNNNNNNNNNNNNNNNNNNNNNNNNNNNNNNNNNNNNNNNNNNNNNNNNNNNNNNNNNNNNNNNNNNNNNNNNNNNNNNNNNNNNNNNNNNNNNNNNNNNNNNNNNNNNNNNNNNNNNNNNNNNNNNNNNNNNNNNNNNNNNNNNNNNNNNNNNNNNNNNNNNNNNNNNNNNNNNNNNNNNNNNNNNNNNNNNNNNNNNNNNNNNNNNNNNNNNNNNNNNNNNNNNNNNNNNNNNNNNNNNNNNNNNNNNNNNNNNNNNNNNNNNNNNNNNNNNNNNNNNNNNNNNNNNNNNNNNNNNNNNNNNNNNNNNNNNNNNNNNNNNNNNNNNNNNNNNNNNNNNNNNUUACUAUAUAUAUAUAUAUAUAUAUAUAUAUAUCAUAGUUGUCAAGUGCGGGGGCAUUCCAAGGAGCGGAACCUCGGUUGGGUCUGCAGAACCGUGUAUUGCUGGAAGCUACUUAUAGUUAGGAUUGUCAUCCAUACGAUCCUAUAUGAAGGGCGCGAUCCUUAUCACAGGGAAGCACGAUUCCAUGAGGAAGGAAUCACAAUUGUAAGUUUUAAGGGAUCACAAAUGCUGUGUGGGUUCACAGUACCAUUGGGUGCAAAACUGAAAAAUCAAUGCAUAUAUAUCAGUGCCAAAUAUAGAAAACACCAUAUGCAUUGUAUCAUACACUUGAGAUUCGCGGAUCAGACCUGCUGGGUAUGAGGAUCACAAUAUAGAGAUCUGCGUUCCAUUCAAGAUCCCUUACUGGAAUCGUGAGAAAGAGGUUUCGGAGCGAGUCUGUGACCUUUCCUACAAGACUGUUUUAAAAUGCGACGUCAUCCCCGCAUAUGCAGUCGUAUAAUGCGUUAUGCGCUGACCACCGCAUCGCAUGAGGCUACAGAUGCGCUUUGGAGGGAUGCGCCCGCAUAUGCUCGCCAUCCCUCUACAUAUGCAGCCGCAUCCCGAAUAGGGCGCAUAUGCAGCCCAUGUGCGAAAUGAAAAAUACUCCCUCAAAAAGAGGUAUAUUGGUCUUUUUAAGCCCCGAAAAGGGAGGGAACGGGUUUGGGGGGUAUUAAACCCCCCCCCCCUCCCAAACCACCAAAUCAGCCACAUCCGUGGCCUAAAGGAGAUCAAAUAGAUCAAGAAAAAAGUGGCAGAAAUUUUAGUUUUCGAAAUUCUUGGAUGAUCUUUGGUUGUUGAUUUAUUUAUUUUGGGUGUUGAUUUGAGGAAGUUUUAGCGAAAUUUUAACAACAAAUCAAGGGUUUCAAAGGCCAAGAAGAAAUCAAUAUUUUUUCAAUGAUCUAUCAGAGAAUAGUGGAUACAAAAUCUCCAGAUACUUUUGGAGUUAAUGAAUAAAUUAAAUACAUAUUAUCACAUCAAUCACCUCCAUAUUUUUUUCCUAUGCAUUAGCCUAUUUUUUUAGAAUUUUUGACCGCAUCGGGGUGAUGCACCCGCAUCGAGCUUCAUUGUUGCAUCGUCCCCCCCAAUGCAUCAAGACGCAUCCCGCAUUUUAAAACACUGCUACAAGUUCCAUCAACUAUGAUAUAUAUAUAUAUAGGAAGAUACUACAAAACACAUAUAAGCGAAAAUGAACAGUGAUUUCGCCUACCCUCAUCACCAUCCAAACUUCAUCGCAGGGUCACAGUUGUCUGGUAGUGUUUCAAUUUCAUUUUUUUUUUUUGCUAAUCGGAAUGAUCUUAAAUUUGGAGCGUAUGUACAUCUUAGUGAGGCACACCUAAUAGAAAUAUGAAAAAAAUAAUUCGCAAAAUAUAAUGUAAUUUGGAUUUGUAGAAAAAAAAUGAAAAUUGAAACACUACCGGACAACUGUGACCGUGNNNNNNNNNNNNNNNNNNNNNNNNNNNNNNNNNNNNNNNNNNNNNNNNNNNNNNNNNNNNNNNNNNNNNNNNNUAAAUAGUAAAAAAAAUAUUUUAAGUUUAUCAACAAAGAUUUACCAAUAUUGAAACCACAUUUCUCGAUACUAUUUGAAAGUGGGCUCUAAUUUGAUUGUUUAGAGCUAGGCUCUAUACAAACCACACCCAUAUGGUUUGUAUAGAGCCGAGGCUCUAAACAAUCAAAUUAGAGCCCACCUUCAAAUAGUAUCGAGAAAUGUGGUUUCAAUAAUGGAAAUCUUUGUGAUAGACUUAAAAUAUAUUUUCAUCUUUAUUUAUAAAAUUUAAAGUAUCAAAUAUAGUGUAUAUCGAGAAAAUCUCUGAACACUUGAAAAUCUUGAAAAUUGACGACAAAAUUUUUAUUGUUUAAAGCCUAGGAUCUAUAUAAACUUUUCCCUGUCUCUAUUUCUCUCUUUAUAUAUAUAUGAAGAGAGAAAGAGAGAGCUCAGUUGAGUUUGGAUUACAGUUGACAAUUUGACUUUGUAUGGAAAAGGCAUGUUGUUAUGCUGAUACAUCAACACAAAAGACCUUGAAUGCAGAGUUAGGGGAGCUUAAAUUGACCUGAACAAUGAACUUGGAGACAUUGGAGAACAUCCCCAAUUAUUGAGAGAGAGAACUUGAUUACCCUGAUUCUCCAUUGGCCACCAUCUCCUCCAGCCGAUAAGAGAGAGAGAACCUAAUCGUAACCCUAGGGAGGAAAUGGGAUUGAUUGCUGUGAGAAUUUUAGAGAGAGAGAGACGGUUGUGGUUGGGGGCUUGAUUGAGAGAGGAAGGAUGGGUAAGAGAGAAAGAGCCAAUGAGCAAAAAAAAAAUUCAACUUGGAGUUGAAUUUUAAGAACAUAGAUUUGAGGAAAAUAUGAUAUUUUUUUAUUGGUACACAAAAAUCCUACCAUAUCCAAAAAUGUUCGCCUUUUAGAAAGUUUUAGUUCCUUUGAGAUUCAAAAUCUAUCAGUCUUAAGUACAAUCAAACUAAGUGGCUGAUUUCGGAGAACAAGAGCUUAAUUAACAUUACAAUGGAUUAUAAAUACUCUUUAUACAAGAUGAAUAUGUCAUGUGAAAGACCAAAGCUGUUGGGGUAUCCCAUCACAAGAAGAGAGAAACCCUGCUGGAAAUUGCCCAACAGUUGGUGGCAUCAUGCGAAUAUCACACAAUGACUUGGGGAACAAGUCACUGGAGGCCUAUAAAUGGACCCAACGAGAGAUAUGGAGAGAAAAGAGAGCUUCUUGAACAAGAGGGAGAAAAACUAAUAGUAAAAGUGUCCCUGGAGAGGGAGAGAGAGAGAGAGAGAGAGAAACCCAAGAGAGAUCAAAACCUUCUUGAAGAAAGAAUCCCAAAAGAGAAAUAACUUCAUGGAGAGGAAGUGCACCAAGGUUUUGUGAGAGAAAGCCGCAAAAUCAACCAUAUCUCUUCUCCACCAUGGAUCCCUCACAUAGAGAGAAUGAAGGAAAAGAUGGGUGUGUUCUUGAGAGGAUAGAUAUUAGCCUCCCUCUCUAGCCUUGCAACCUUCUACUUCAUAUUAAAUUUGAUUGUCCAUCUUCGUGGACAUAGCCCAUAAGGGUGAACCACAUUAAAUUUAGUGUUUUCAGUGAUUGCUUACUUUCAUUGUGUUUCUAGCUCCUACUUCUUCAUACACAAAUACAUGUGAAGUGUUUGAUAUCUGGUCCCAAAGCACAUGAGACUCCACUGUGCACAUCAGCAUUGUUGUGAGCAGGCUUUUGCAUCAGCACAACGAAGUGGUAUCAAAGCCAGCUAAGAACACAUCCACUAAAAUCCGCAGAUCCUAGACCACCUGUGCAUGGUGAAGGCCUCUUCGACUUGGGAAACCAUCAAUAUGUCAAUGUGAACCGCGAUGAAGUAUCUCAGGGCCAUUGAUGACCUCUCUGCACCACCGAGGUGAAAAAAUAGACCAUCAUUGACAAAGAGUUGAAAUGCAAGUGAUCAAGACUAUAACAGCCUUUGAGCGUUAGCCGGUGAGAAAGUUAGUGAACCACCAGUGAGAAAGUUGGUGAACAGCCAAAGAGAUCAAAUUGGACCAUUCAGCCUGCCAAUUUUGAGGUGUGUGUGUUGACUAAGAGAUGGAUUCCAAUUGUGGGAGCAUGAUGAUCUCAUUAAAUGGGAAAAACUGAAUCAUCUGAAAAUCGAAGAUGUAAAAACUUCUUUAUUACAAUUCCUUGUAUAUAUCCAUUCAGAGCCAAGGACAUGUUAGACGAAGAGUGCAAGAAGCAUGAGACAAAGGCUAUUGGGAUAAUCCGACAAUGGCUGGAAAAUGUUGUAUUCCACAAUGUGUCGAGUGAGAUAACCACCAAGUCUCCAUGGAUGAAGCUGCAUGACCUUUAAAGGAGAAAAAUUGUCGAAAAUAAGGCAUUUUCAAUUCAAAAGCUAGUGAAUCUAAAGUUCAAGGAAGAUGUUCCACUACAAAGCAUCUAACUAGAUGCAAAGCAUCAUCAACUAGGUCGCAACGAUGAAGAUGUACCUAGAUGAUGAACUACAAGCACUAGUAUUGCCCAGUUCACUGCUAGACAGAUGUGGGACUUUGGUAGACUCCAUAAGCAACUUAACACCAGAGGGAAAAGUGACUAUAAGUUAGGCCAAGAGUUUGUAGAACGAGGAGAUAGAAGAAGAUCCUCCAACAUACCUUCCUCAAAAGCUCUUGUCACCAACUGAGGAACGUCCAAGGGUUAGGAACAAAGUACCCAAUAGUCCAAAGAUAGAUUGAAGUCCAGAAAGGGGAUAUUUUGUUUCACUGUGGUAAGAAUGGACACAUGAAGAAAGAAAGGGUGUUGCAAGCUCAAAAGAGAGUAGAAAGAGGCCAACACCAAGUAUGGUGGCAAAGAAACCUUUGCAGUGACCAUCGAAGAUGAUGUAAGCAUGGUCGACGAUUGUGGUAAUGAGUGCACAAUGUUGCAUUAGCUUUGUGCAACUCUGAUUGGAUUGUAGAAAUUAGGGCAUCUUUCCAUGUUACCCCACACAGACAUUAUUUUGUGUCUUACAAAGCAAGAGAUUUUGGCUCUGCGAAUAUGAGGAGCAAUGGUUUCUCAUGGUUCUAGGGCGAGGAGAUGUAUAUAUCAAAACAAAUAUUAGGAUGAAGCCAGUGAAAAAGAUGUUAGAUAUGUACCAGAUCUUCAUGUAAACUUCAUUUCCGGAGGAUAUUUAGAUGAUAGAGGGCAGCACUCAAUGGUUGAUAAGGGACACUAGAAGCUAACAAAGGGAGAUCUCUUGUCGUGGCUAAAAGCAAGAAGUGUUGCUCCUUCUACAAAACACAAGUGUUUGUCUCUAAUGGCAAGGAUAAUGCCACAAUGGAAUCAUCCUCAUCAAACCUGUGGCGCAAGCAACACAACAACAUGAGAGCAAAAGGAAUAUAGAUCUUAGCAAGGAAGCUGAUUCUCCCCUGCAUCAAUAAAAAAUCUCUGACCCCAUGUGCCCGCUACUUGCAGGCAAACAUUUUCCUUUAGGGAAACUAAAGACAAAAAUCAUGGAUCUAGCGUAUUAAGAUGUUUGUGGUUCCAUCAUGGAUGUUAAAUCUCUUGGUGACGCCUCAUACUCUCUAUCACCUUUAUAAAUGAUAUUCCAUGGAAUGUGUUAAUGGACUUUAAUGAAAUCAAAAGAUCAUCGAUUUGAGGUCCUUCAAACUUUCCAUGCUAAUGUUGAUAGGGAGAUAUGCAAGCUGUUAACGUUUCCCCAUUAAGAGAAUGUAAGGAGUGCACUUCAAAUGCAUUAGAAGCUACUGUCUCAAAGAUGACAUAAAGUAAGAGAAGACAGUGCCAUAUACCCUCCAGCAUAAUGGUGUAGCACAGAGAAUGAAUUGCACCAAUAUGGAACGAGUGAAGAGCAUGUUGUCCACCACUAAGUUGCCAAAGUCAUAACAAGGAUAAGUUUUUUUUUUUUUGAUGGUUCAUAAGUUGUCUUCACCUCACGAUACUUGAUCAACGAUCCCCAUCAUUUCCUCUGGAUGGUGAUAUUCCAGUCAAAGUUUAGACCAAAAAGAUAUCUCAUUCACACUUGAAGGUGUUCAAAUGCAAGGCAAGGAAUAAAGAUCCAAGCUAGAUGAGAAAGCAUUCCAAUGCAUCUUCUUGGGGUUCUCAGAAGAAGGGUUUGGCUACAAGCUAUGGGACCCUAAGAACAAGAACUUCAAGAAGGUGAACAAGAGUAGUUGAAAACUUAAAGAAGUCAAAUAAUUGAAGAAGCCAAAGAAGCAACAAUACUUUAAUGAUAAUUAACAGGAUCUGGUCACAAUUGCUCCCACCAUGGUGCAUGAUAGAAACAAGGGAGAAGUGCAAGAAGAACCAGAGCAUGAAUCGCAUGAGAGUGAUAUCCUAGCACAGGCUCAUGUUGAACAAGGGGAGCAACCUUUUCAAGAAGUGCCACCUGCGAUAAAAUGAAGCAGGUCCUCCAAGAGGCAUAAACCCUCAAACAAGUACCAUGCCUCAGAAUACGUCAUGCUAAUUGAUGGUUGAACCAAAAGCUACAAGAUGUUCAAGGCAACGAACACAAGUAGUGGAUAAAAGCUAUGAAAGACAAGAUGGAUUCCUUCCAUAAGAAUUCCUUCCAUAAGAACCACAUUGCGACCUGGUAAAGUUGCCAGAGGGCAAAAGAGCACUUAAGCACAAGUGGGUAUUCAGGCCAACAACUGAAGAAAAAAAGCUCACAACCAAGGUACAAGGCAACUGGUUGUCAAUGGUUUCGAGUAGUUAAUGGGCAUCGAUUUUGAUGAACCUACGGUGAAGAUGCCAUUGAUCCAUUUGGUGCUAGGAUGGAUACAAGCUUCAAUCUAAAGGCAAACAACUAGUUGCCAAUACUGCCUUUCUCUAUGGAGAUUUAGAGCAGGAGAUAUAUAAGGAGCAGCAAAGAGGAUCCAAGGUAAAAGGGAAAGAGCACAUGGUUUGUACACUAAGGCAGAGCAUAGGUUGAAACAUUACCCAAGGCAAUGGUACAAGAAAUUUUAUUCCUUCAUGUGAAUCAUGGGUACAAAAGAAAAGCCUUAGACCAUUGUGUAUUCGUCAAGGAAUUUUAUGAUUGUGAGUUAAUUGUCCUUUUAAGGUACGUUGAUGGCAUAUCGAUUGUUGGUCAAGACAUUGGCAAAUUUUACAGGUUAUAGCAAGAGCUAUGGAAGUCCUUUUCCAUGAAGGACUUAGGACCAACUCAACAAAUCCUAGGCAUAAAGAGCUAUUGUGACAGAAAGGUUGGAGAGCUUUGCUUGUCACAAGAAAGAUAUAUAGAGGAAGUGCUUAAAAGGUUCUACAUGAACAAGGCAAAAGAUGCUAGUUCCCACUUGGUGGUCAUUUCAAGGUAAGUGCUAAGAGAGCCCUUCAAGUGAGAAGGAAGAAGAAGAAACAGAGAUAUCUCCCAAUGUACAUUUUAUGUAUGCCAUGGUGUGCAUGAGGCUAGAUAUUGCCCACAUAAAUGGAGUGGUGAGCAAAUACAUCGUCAAUCCCUGCAAGGAGCAUUGGGCAAUAGUCUGGUAGACACUUACGUAUCUCAAGGGGUCAUCCAAAGUAUUUUAAAGCUUGGGGAAGGUAAUCCUGUGCUACAAGGUUACACAGAUGCAAACAUGUCUUGAGAUAUUGACACCAGGAAGUCAACCUUGGGUGUCUGUUCAAUUUUGGAGGGAAGCCAUAUCAUGGCAGUCCAAGUUGCAAAAAUGUGUGGCCUUGUUCAACUACAAAUGCUGAAUACAUUGUAAUUAUAGAAGCCUACAAGGAGAUGUUGUGGGUGAAAAGAUUACUCCAAGAGUUAAGACUUGAAACAGGACAGGUAUCGCUGCGGCAGUCAAAGUGCAGUCGACUUGACUGAGAUCGUUGCAUUCAAGGACAAAACACAUUGAUGUGCAUCACCACUGGAUUCAAGAUGUCAUAGAGAGGAUGUUGUUGCAACUUAAAAAGAUCAAUACUAACAAGAAUGUGUAACAUCAUGACAAAGACUCUAGCCUAGGAUAAGCAGGAGCUACGCAGAAACAUGGCUAGAACAGUUGAAUGUGAGCACCAAGUUGAUCUGCAAAGGAGAUCUCUCCUCAUGAAAUUGGAUGCGGAGAUUGUUGGGUAUCCCAUCUCAUGAAGAGAGAGAACCUGCUAGAAUUUCCUAAUAGAUAUUGGGUAUUAUGGGUCUCACACAAUGACUUGGGGAGCAAGUCCUUGAAGGCCUAUAAAAGGCCCCAAAGUGAGAUGAAAAGAGAGGCAAGCCUCUUAAACAAAAGAGAAAAAACCCAAGAGAGAAAAAAAGUGCCUCCUAGAGAGAGAGAAACCUAAGAGAUCUAUGGAAACCCUCUAGAAGAAGGAAUCUCAAGAGAGCAAUAGCUUUUGGAGAGAGAGUGUAUCAAGAUUUUGUGAGAGAAAGAAAAUCCCGAAUCAGUCAUGUCCUGUCUCAGCCUUAGAUUUUUGGUGUAGAGAGAAGGAGAAGGAACGGGUGUCUCGAGAGGAUAGGUAUUACCCUCUCCAUCUAACCUUGUGACCUUCUAUUUGAUAAUGGAUUUGAUUCUCUGUCUGUUGGAAAUAGCCCAUAAGGGUAAACAAUGCGAAAUUUGGUGUGUUCAAUUUUGCUUGCUUUCAUUGUGUUUCCUGUUUUCCUACUUCUUCAUACACAUAUAUGAAAAGUGUUUUGACAUUUAAUCCCAAAGCACAGGAGACAAUGCUAUGUACAUCCGUGCUGUUGCAACCUGGCUUUUGUAUACAACUAACAAAAGUAACAAGGCUUUCAGACAUGGAAUCCUAAAAGACGGUAAGAGACGAAAAUUCAGAAAAACUAAAGCCAGAAAAUAGAACUAGAAAAUCUAAGGUAUUCUUGCUAUCUAUACCUACUGAUACGGUUUACUCUAGAUAUAGUUUUCCAUCAGAUGAUACAAGAACUGUCUUGCAUGAACUUGAAUUCACCAAACAUCACACCUUAGCUUAUGUUUAUACCCUUUCAGAUAAUGCCUUUGUAUAUGCCUGUUAUAAUUAAAUGUUGAUAAUAUUUAUGAAUUUUAAGCAGACAUAUCUCUGACUUCGAAGUGUGCUUUUCAUUUAGCCAAUACACUCAUCCAUGACAAAUUAUGUAAAUGACCAAGCUUGCGUUUCCGUAGAAAUUAUAGAAAAAAUUAACAUAACUGCUUUUGGCCAAAAGCUAACCAAUAGUAUCUAUUCACCCUCAAACUAAUUUGACCUUACAAAAGUGAAACAACAACAUUUAGGAGAUUCAGCAAGUUAAAAAUCUAUUUCUAUAGGGUGGCAAACAGGUCGAAUCAACCAGCCGACCCAGCAGCUUGACCCGAGCAGGUUCUGGGUCCGGGUUUUGGACCCAGAGGGUCGGGUCCGGAUCGAAAUGACUUGGACCUGAACAAGGUCGGGGUUGACCCGACCAAGUAUAAACUAUAUAAAAUAUAGAAAAUAUAUAUCACACAUAUAAAAUAAUUUUUUUAUUUCUAGACCGGGUCCAAGUAGUGUUUGGGUCCAAAUGAUUUGGAUUUUGGACCCCAUUAGGAACCUAGUCGGGCCAGGCCAAGUCCGGUCCAGCUCAACCCAAACCCGGCCCAACCCGUUGCCAUCCCUAUAUUUCUGAGGUACAACUUAAAAUUUUCUAAGAUAACAAUCUAAUAAUUAAAAAAAUAUAAAAAAAAAUCAUACGACAACAUAGUAAGUUGGUACAGCAUUUUGGGAAAGGGAUAACUGGUAAACUCAAACAUUUUGAGGCUUAGUACCAUCUUUGAAUAACUCAUUCCCAAAUAAGCUCAAGUAUACUUAGGUCUUCUUACAAACAAAGCUUAUACAACAUUCUUAUUCAAGGUCUACAAGUUCCAUUCCCAAGGAACACAUAGGAGGAGGCCAACCAUUAAUUUUUGCAAGCGGCUUAAUUCUUUACUAGUUCACAAAAUUAAUCUCCAUAAGAAUGUCCAAAAUGGUGGCACUAGAGUAGCUACCUUUCAGAGAAGACAGUUGAGGUGGUUAGCUCUGGGUCCUGGCAAUGUAAAUACUCUGAUCACAUGGUAAUCAGGAACCAAGAGCCCUUGGGGAGAUUUUCAGAAAACUUAAUGACCCAGUUGGGGCCAAUUGGCUUCUGCUACUCUUCCUAAGUAGAAGCAAAAGAACUUAUUACUAGCCCUAAGCUAUGCCUUGACUGGUCAGAAGGCUUGCUCAUUACAAACUUGUUUCAUGGAAAAGUGGGGGAACAAAUUAUCUUUUAGGUCUAGGACAAUACCUUAAAAGCUCGUUGCCCAGGCUGUAUUCUGUAUUAUUGACCAGGAUGGCCUUGUUUCGCAGUCUUAUGAAAUCCUAGGUGGCCAGCUGAUUUGGGUUCCUAGGUUUGAGAGGAAACAACCAUGACCCUUGUGGACCUCCUAAAAGAUCAACUCAUCCCCAAUGAGGACUUGGAUAAAUUUAUGUGCACCCCUAGCUCUUAAGCAUUUAUUUCAGUCUCUUUAAUAUAAAUUAAUUCUACAUGUUCCAACAGUGGUCUCUCCAUUCCUCACAAGGCCUGGACCACACCAAGCCCCCACCCCCUGGGAUGGGCCCUCAAAAAAUAAAAAAUAAAAAAUCCAAAAAAUAUUAUACAAAUAUAUGUGUGUGUGCGUGUGUGUGUGUGUGUGUAUAUAUAUAUAUAUAUAUAUUAUAGCCAUCUCAUGUUGUGGUAAUCUGAAACAGGACCCUAAGCACAACGAAGUACAAAGUGAGAAAUGUGCAACUAUUGAAUUGCUGCGUGAUAUAUCAUGAAGCAGAAGAAACUAUGGACCGCCUGUUCUUCCACUGUUUGAUGGCAAUUCAGGUAUGGACUUUCCUUCUCAGCACCUUUGAGUGGGUGCAGGUGUAGCCUCAAACUGCCCAAUAACUAUUUUUCUCCUUCUCCCUCCCCCUCCUCUUCUUUCCCUGUGCCAAAGCCUGUUUCUAUAGAGUGCAACCCUCUUGGUUUGAAAUGGUCCUAGUGGAUAGAAUGAAACUUUCAGAUACUUGAGGGUAAGGGAAAGGGGCUGGAAGCUUUAAAAGACAUAACUAGAUCCACAGUGGAAUUUUGGCCACACCACCACAAGGAAUUAUGUGGGUUGGCUUUACAAAACUGGGGAACUACUUGAAGUGCUAGGACAAUGAUGGGGCCUAAGUAAGGUUGUCCUAGGUAACCCUGGUUUGUCAAGGGUGGGUGGCAUCUAUAGAAAUGAGGGGGGGGGAGGAGUGUUUUGGUUUGUCAAGGGUGGGUGGCAUCUAUAGAAAUGACGGGGGGAGUGUUUACUAUCUUAUUCACGCUCCAUUAGAACUCAAGGUGUUCAAUAUGAACUGGUUGCAGUCCCUAAUGGUGGAAGGAGACUCUAACAACAUGUUCAGAUGGGCCUCUAAGGAGUCCACCUGCCCCUGGUUUUUGGACAGCAGAUCGAAAAAGUCUUCGUAGGUUUGGGCAACUUACAAGUCCUUUACACUCAUACACAAUGAGAGGCCAACUCAACUGCAGGCACCUAGCUAAGGAAGGUGCGAACGGUAAAAAUUUUGUAAUUAAUAGAAUUAUAGAACAAUAGGAAUUUUUCUUUCUUUAUCCAUUAUCAUUAUCAGAACCUUUUCCCAACUAUUUAGAGACGGCUACACGAAUCUUGAUCCGCCAUUCUGUUCUAUCAACGGCCAUACCCUCAAUGAGGUCAUAGGUCCACAUAUCUUUUUUCACUACUUCCACUAUGUCCUUUUGGGCCUAUCCCUUGGUUUUUUUUAGUUUUCCAUGGUGUUGUACUGGGUCUGCACUACACAUGACCAGUCCACCUAAGUUUACUUUCUCUCAUCUUAUCAUCUAUUGGAGCCACACCUAAGUUCUCCCAAAUGUAUUGAUUUUGAAUUUUAUUCCUUCUUGUCUUGCCACUCCUCCAUCUCAACAUCCUCAUUUCAACUACACUCAUUCUAUGAGUAUGUUGCUUCUUGACCGCCCAACAUUCUGCCCCAUAAAGUAAAGCUGGUCUCACAAUUGCCCUACAAAACUUCCACUUCAGCUUCACAGGUAUCCAACGAUCCCAUAAAAUUCUAGUUGCACAUCUCCACUUCGCCCACCCAGCUCUAAUUCAUAUGCCACAUCUUCCUCAAUCUUUAUCCAUUCUAUAUAAUUCUAUUUUUUUUGUUUGAUGCCCAUGUUCAAGCAUUGAGUUUGUUAGUCACAAUUUUAUAAAUGCUCUUUACUAUUAAUUUAAAGUCAAUUAUUCUACAAAAACAAAAGAAAAAGUAGACAUAACAGUACAGUUAACAACAUCGUAAAAAAAAAAAAAGAAUAGAUAGCAGCCUUGCUCAUUCUAGAGGUGAUAGUCCCAACCACUAGUGAAUAUUACUACUACUUUUCUGCUCAAAUGGUCAAUAGAGUUAGAAUUUCCUUUACUCCCCGACAUCUAAGCCUAACUCACAGCACCCCUAUUAGCACUUUAAAUUGGACGUCCAUAUCACAUUCUUCGUGCUUCACAAUUUAAGGGUGACGUUCUCUAGUAGCAAGCUCAUCAUUGAACAUCUCAGACACCUCCUAGAUCAAGUUCGCUCAAAGUUUAGUAGAUGGAAUGGUGAGUUCUUUUCCAAUGGAGGAAGAUUAACCCUCACUGGAUCCAUACGUUGCAAAAACACAAUAUUUUUAUUUGUGCAUUAUUUGCUCUCUAUGUUCCAAAGUAAUAUUGUCCACAAUUGAUACCAGUACGAUCCAUUCCUUCUAAUCUUGUGUUAAUGACCUCAAGAAUGCCAAGAGGACUCCUGAGACAAUGUGCCACUCUAAAGAGCAGGGCAGAAUAGGUGUGUGGGAAACUAGUUGAUGAGUAUAUCGAUAUGCUUAAAUUGAUCAGGGUUUUGCUCUUUAGAGAUAGCCUGUUGGUGGAGUUCAUCAAAUUGAAGUAUGUCAAAAACUGCUGCUUUAUGGACUACGAGUUCCAUGCCUAGCUGCUAAAGAUACCCUGUAUCAACUACAUUUUUUACACCUAGCACUGGCAGAAUCCCUGCAAGUGGAUGGAGAUGGGUCAUCAAUCGCCCUUUCUAGGUAAUUAGGGGUUCAAGGAUCUGCAUUUGUGUAUUUUAGUCAUUCUAAGGUUAGUUGCGAGCAAUCCCAACUUUUUAAUUUUAUUGAAGGGGAUGACCAAAUUGGAGCUUUCUAAUUCUCCCACACUAUAGGAAGCCUUCAAUAGGUUUGGAAGGAUCCAUCUCCCUGGACACGCUUCCCAGGAUAUUCUUACCUGGGAAUUUGUUUCUCAUUCAUAUAAGGUUGGGAACCAUAUAAGGUUGGAAGUAUACUUCUGUCUGAUCUACACAAUGGUCAAUCGUCAUAAAGAGAACUAAAUGAAAAUGCGAAGUAAAGAAAAGGGUAUAUGAGGGAACAUAACGAACAUGAGAAAACCUCGAUGAGAAGCGGGAAACUCAAUGCCCGUAUGAUAAAGAGGAUCAUUUAAAAGUAUAAUGGGUUAUGAUCUAGAAGACACUACCCUUAUGAGAGAGAAAGAGAGAGAGGACCAAAAAACUCAAGAAAAUUGGGAAAUAAGAGUGCCUUUCUACUCAAGGGCAUAAAUAAACAAAUAAACCAACAGAAACACGACAAAACCUGUAGAAAAAAGGUUAAUUACCAAGAAGAAAAUCUACAAAAAUACUAAUGGUAUGCCUUGGAACAAUUCUCCAAUCAGUACUAUUACGGAAGAAACCUUACUUUUACACUUGGAAAUAAGAUAUUGAGGUUUCCUUAAUGAAAGAAAUAUGGAAACCAUUGUCUAAAGUUCUAAACCAUGAGGGAAUAAUCCCAACCAACAAAAACUUACAUGAUUAGUUAUAAGGACAAAGACAAAAUUUCCUUACCAUUAAUGAUGUCAAUGGAACAGUACAAAACGAAAAAAAAAAAAAUUUGUCACGAUAACAGCAUCAAAUGCAUUCCUAAUAAAAUAUUGAUAUUUGUUAUCGCUUUCUAAGGCCUGAAGCAUCUUCUAUACGUUUCUCUCUCACUUCCCAUAAGGCAUAAGCUUUAAGAAAAUUUUUCAGGUGCGUCCUUAUCCCUUCUUUUAUGGAUAAACAACUAAAAUUGUAUUAAUGCUGUAAACUUAUACAAUUUGGUUUUGUAAGACAAGAACCACCAAUGAGUAUAGGUAACUAUAAAAAUGGUGACAAAGAAGUAAUGAGGGUCUGUUCAAGGGCUAUAGAAAAUUGUGGAAAUGGUCUGAAUGUGUGAAGGAUUGUCGGUGACAAUGAUAGAGGUGAGAGCAGCCCUUGCAUGAGCUCUGGAGUCUGCCUCGGGUUGGCUUCACAUCAAGUGUGCUGAAAGGGCACCUCUUGUCGUUCACAAAGAUGGAACAUCUGCUCAAAAGAUGUCGUUGAGCCUUCAAGGGCAGGGGGCAGCUUUAGAAGCCAAUAGAUAAUGUUGAGGGAGUCUCCUUUAAAGAGGAUCGAGAAACCCAGCCUCUAUUGAAAAGAGAUAAGCCACAAAGAAGUGUCAAUGACUCUGCGAGUGAGGCAUCCACAAUGCCAACCGGGGCUUGCUUCCUCCUCGGGACCACACGAUGAACAUUUAUUCGCAAGAUGAAAACCUCAUUAUUUGACCUAGUCCACUGCUAAACCUUUGCGCAAGAUGGCAAGCGAAGAGAAAGCUUGCACCUCGGGUGGGCCAAGGGAAGCCAUGCUCUAUUUCUACCGAUGGGUUGGUAGUGUUGUUUGUCAGGGACUUGAAGAAGGAAGAAACCAAGAAAGAGCCCUUUGAGGGGGGGUCCAAACAAUUCUGUCAACCUGCAAAAGGUUAAGAAGAAGACUGCUAGCUGAGCUAGAACGAAGACAUGCUUAGAAGCCAAGCUCAUUAAAUGUGGGAUGUAGACUCGACGUGCUAGGGGGGUCUGAUGUACUAUGCAUCUCAUAGCAGACAAAUCACUUCCAAUGCGGCCAAUAAAUGUUAAAAAGUAAAAAUUAUAAAAGGGUGUGGUUUAUAUAUGGUUGCAACCUUAAUCUAAUUAAGGCGCACCUCCAAAUUUCAUCAUAACAUGUAAUUUUGGUGUAAAAAAUUCUUAGAAUUAUCUGAAAAUCCAUUUCCAUUUCUAAUUAUAAAAUUUUACCUCCAAAAAUGGUUAAAUUCAAGUAGAUCUAUAAACAUAUGAAAAUCUUGAAAAUGGACGGUCUAGAUAAUGUGUUGCAAGAUGCACUAUUUUUGGGACUCAAUAUCUUUUUUGUUCAUAUUCAUUCAUCUUGAUGUUGAGAUGAUCAAUUAGAGGGUUUUACAACAUUAAAACGAAGGAGCAUCUUUAAUUCUACAUUUCAAGGUUGCAACUUUAUAUAAAAAUUUUCCAUCAAAAAAAUGUAAAAAAAAAAAUACAAAGAUACACAAGAACAUGUGAUUUAUAAGUCAAUACGCAUUUUAUUUAGUAUGUCUCUAAUAUAUCCACUAAGUCGUUGAUAUCCUAUUGCUAGAGUAACAGAGGAACUUUCUGUCACUAUCCUCUAAUGUUAGUAACAUGUAUAAUGAAGUGAUCCAUUCCAUUGCAUUAUUAAUGGAAACUGAAAAUGUCAGAUACUAAAAAAUCUAAUUUCCUCAAAUACAAAAUAUUUGAUUUUGGUCUCAAUAUCAAACCCAAAAUCAAAAGAGAAUGUGAUUCUCGAUUUCAAUCUUCCUGGUUCUAAAAAACCCUCAAUUACUUGAUAAAUCUUUACACGAAAUCCUUCAAAGCAAAGCACAAAAUCAACUUGAAUGAUCGCCCAAAGAUACCACAAAACUUUGUCAAAAUCUUCAAAUUCAGAGAGAAAGUUUCCUCACUUUAAUCGCUUUAGAACCAUGGAAACAUGUUCUAUGAGGCUUUUAGAGUGCCCCCCCCCCCCCCCCCAAAAAAAAAAAAAAGAAAGCAAAAACCUCCCCUUUCCAGAGGGUAAAAAUGAUCACAUUGUUCUGCUCAUGGGCAUUAUUUCCACCCAUGAGCAAGGCAGUACAUAUGCGGGCAUAUCACCCAACAUCAUGUGCCAAUGUGAAAGCCAUGCAUCACCCGGCAGGCGCAUCAUGCUAACCUACAUAGGUGGGCAUGUGCAGUGUGGACAAGGGCACAUAGACUAUGAUGUGGUAGCAAAAAGCAGUAUAAGGCUGCACCUGAUAACUAUAACAAAAGCUGCAAUCUCAGUGACGUCUUGAUGUAGAAGAAGUAUCCAAACUAGAGUUCCAGCCGCUCAAGUGGCAUAGAAGGUGCGUUCUGAUUCCUAAACAUCGUCCCAGGUGUUUCCCAAUACAUCUUCUAAUGUUCUGUAAACAUUUCCUUAUUUUCCAUGUCCCCAAGCUCAUUUGUGGGUUUGUUUCUAGCCUCUACUUUCCAUUUCGCUUCCCAACUUUUUCUCCCACCAGUGACUACGGAUUUAAUGCACAUAUUAAAGCACAUGAUGAAUCUUAAAAACAUGAAAAUAACCAUGAAAGUGGUGUCAGUCCUGGUUGGACAUGUGUAGCAAGAUUGUAUGCCCCUCGAGGUGCAUGUUUCUGGCAUGUUACUUAACAUGAACACCAUGACUCAUCAAGAGAGAACAGCUCCAUCAAAUGAAUGUAACUCACAAUAAUGUUUGAAGUUAAAGAAAACAAAGAAAAAUAAUCGCCACGAGACACUAUUGGUUCCUCGAGGAACUCAACUGCCUGAAUUUCUCAAACCAAUCUUUGAUGAACGGAUUGACUAUCCUUCCAAACCUAGUAAUCUUCCAACCGGGCCUUCCAAAAUUACCUCUUAGAUUUAUCAAUUACAAACUUUGAACCAGAAUUUAAAAUUUAAUUAUUGCAUAAGCAUACUUAAUUAGAGGGUUAGCGUUAAUUGCCUAAUUCAUUGCAAAAUAUGAGCACCUUUUACUUUGGUAUUGUACUAUAUGUUGUUUGGUGUAGAACCUGGCUCUAUCCCAAGUGGUGCAACAUGUUAGAUACAGCUAUGUCCCACCAACAAAACAACAACAGCCAAAAAGAAAAAACAAACAAAACCCUUAUCUUCAUUUCAGAUGAAGAUCAAUCUAACAAAUAAUUUCAGUUUACAAUCAAACCAUGUUAACCAUAUGAGCACUAAAAACUUGCAAUUUCCAACAAAUGAAGACACUAAAUUUCAAUAGAACACGAUAAACUGAACAUAGAAUUCAUUUCCCCGUUACAAAAAAAAAAAAGGCAAAAAUAAUGAGACCAAAGAAAACAAUAAACUCAAUGAAGAAAGCACAGGAGCUACUCAAACCACGUUAACAAUAUGAGAACUAAAAACUUGCAAUAGCCGACAAAUGAUGACACUACAAUUCAAUAGAACACGAGAAACAGAACAUAGAAUUCAUUCCCUGUUUAAAAAAAAAAAAAAACAAGAAAAAAAGGGAAAAAAUAAUGAGACCAAAGAAAACAAUAAACUCAAUGGAGAAAGCACAGGAGCUAAAACAUCUAGCACUACUACUCAAACACUAACGAAAUCACAGUGUGUAUUGUAUAAUAGAAUAAGACGUUCUCAUUGUAUUCAUAUUACUACAAUUUAAAAGACACAUUUAUAUACUUAGUUAGGCUCGGCAUACAAUGAUCCACCAUUAGUUGGAGAAAAGAAUGACACAGCAGAGAAAAAUAGGCACCUUGAAGCUCUGCGGACCAUUACUUGAGAUGACUCAGGAGGAACUCCCACACCGCCAUUGCUCUGCUCUGGACCAAGAUAACGAAGUCCCAGCCUGAACUUGUCCAUGUAAAGAGUCAAAAUCAAAAAACAUAAAAGAGGAGGGGAUUGAGUGCAGGCGAAGACUAGAAAAGAAGUGGUAAUCAGACUUCGGACAUGGAAGUUGCAGAGCAAGCUCCUCAAUCUAAUUUUUAGUUUGUUGAAGCAGUGAAAAGGGUUUUCAAGGGUUUUACAGCGUUGGCGCCCUGUCUAUCUUUUUCUUUAU